rnacentral:rRNA from 1 species
GCUUGUAGCCUAAAUAUCUUAAAAGCACCAGAUCUCAUUUGAUCUUGGAAGUUAAGGAGAAUUAGCCCUGGUUAGUACUUGAAUGGUAGAUGCCAAUGAAUAUCAAGUGCCAUAGGCU